AUGUCGACACAUCCUACUCAGAAGACGAUUUCACAGGAGCUUGUGGAGCUUCUUCGCGAUAACAGAGGAGGCUUCAUCAGGGCAGCUACGGCGAGACUUGACCACAUCCUAGAUGUGGUUUUAGCAGAAGCAGCAGCGCUGUUGGAGGGACUAAAACUAGCACAGAGCACUGGAUGCAACAAUCUUUUAGUACGUAUGGACAACCUGAUAGUGGUGCAGGCGCUACAUAAUAAUGUAGGACACUCGAUGGUGGCGGCUCCUAUUGCAAGAUUGUCGAGUGAUGUUGAGAGAAUUCGGGAAGGCUGUGGUAGAACAUUGUAUUAG
rnacentral:rRNA from 1 species